CAGUCGAACGAUGAAGCCCUUCGGGGUGGAUUAGUGGCGAACGGGUGAGUAACACGUGGGCAAUCUGCCCUUCACUCUGGGACAAGCCCUGGAAACGGGGUCUAAUACCGGAUACCACUCCUGCCCGCAUGGGUAGGGGUUGAAAGCUCCGGCGGUGAAGGAUGAGCCCGCGGCCUAUCAGCUUGUUGGUGGGGUAAUGGCCCACCAAGGCGACGACGGGUAGCCGGCCUGAGAGGGCGACCGGCCACACUGGGACUGAGACACGGCCCAGACUCCUACGGGAGGCAGCAGUGGGGAAUAUUGCACAAUGGGCGAAAGCCUGAUGCAGCGACGCCGCGUGAGGGAUGACGGCCUUCGGGUUGUAAACCUCUUUCAGCAGGGAAGAAGCGAAAGUGACGGUACCUGCAGAAGAAGCGCCGGCUAACUACGUGCCAGCAGCCGCGGUAAUACGUAGGGCGCAAGCGUUGUCCGGAAUUAUUGGGCGUAAAGAGCUCGUAGGCGGCUUGUCACGUCGGAUGUGAAAGCCCGAGGCUUAACCUCGGGUCUGCAUUCGAUACGGGCUAGCUAGAGUGUGGUAGGGGAGAUCGGAAUUCCUGGUGUAGCGGUGAAAUGCGCAGAUAUCAGGAGGAACACCGGUGGCGAAGGCGGAUCUCUGGGCCAUUACUGACGCUGAGGAGCGAAAGCGUGGGGAGCGAACAGGAUUAGAUACCCUGGUAGUCCACGCCGUAAACGUUGGGAACUAGGUGUUGGCGACAUUCCACGUCGUCGGUGCCGCAGCUAACGCAUUAAGUUCCCCGCCUGGGGAGUACGGCCGCAAGGCUAAAACUC
rnacentral:rRNA from 1 species